UUAGCCCACUAGCUAGCUCACGCCCCAAAAUACAACAAUAAAUUAUCCAUACCCCCAAAUAAACUAAACUACCCAAGACCAAACCAUUUUUCCACCCAAGUACGGGCGACGGAAAAG
rnacentral:rRNA from 1 species